CACUGAAAGCCAUUUCCCCUGUCUUA
rnacentral:piRNA from 1 species